rnacentral:rRNA from 1 species
AGUAGGGAAUCUUCCGCAAUGGGCGAAAGCCUGACGGAGCAACGCCGCGUGAGUGAUGAAGGUCUUCGGAUCGUAAAACUCUGUUAUUAGGGAAGAACAUAUGUGUAAGUAACUGUGCACAUCUUGACGGUACCUAAUCAGAAAGCCACGGCUAACUACGUGCCAGCAGCCGCGGUAAUACGUAGGUGGCAAGCGUUAUCCGGAAUUAUUGGGCGUAAAGCGCGCGUAGGCGGUUUUUUAAGUCUGAUGUGAAAGCCCACGGCUCAACCGUGGAGGGUCAUUGGAAACUGGAAAACUUGAGUGCAGAAGAGGAAAGUGGAAUUCCAUGUGUAGCGGUGAAAUGCGCAGAGAUAUGGAGGAACACCAGUGGCGAAGGCGACUUUCUGGUCUGUAACUGACGCUGAUGUGCGAAAGCGUGGGGAUCAAACAGGAUUAGAUACCCUGGUAGUCCACGCCGUAA